UUUAGAUAUUAGUAUUAGCUACUUCUUCAACUCACAGCUCUGACUUUUAAAUCUUGGCGUGUUUGCAUCAAAUUCCAAAUUAGGGGAAGAAUUGGUGAUUCCAAUCUCCACCCUGAACCCUCAAUCAUACAUCUGACAUGGCUCAUGAAGCUGUGGAAUCCCUGCAACAAACCUUACUCCAAUUCCUUCUACGUGACGAUGAUCGCAUCACUCCUCCUGUUAAACACCUAAUUAUAUCCAUCCACGACAAAGCUGUUGUGUUGCAGUUUAAUCUCAAACAUUUUCCAGAUAAAGAAACAAUAAGGGAGGUAGCAAAUACAGCUGAAAAGAUUAUUCAAUAUCUUUCCUCCUCAGAAUAUCUAUCAAAUCCAAGUGUCAGGCUUUCAGAUCAGUUGGGGGAAUUGGCUGAGGAGCUCGACUUAAUUGUUGGAGAUGUGAUCAACAACGUGAGUCAUUCUCCUGGUGUUAGUUCAUCAUCAGGAUCUGCACUCAAGAGUCAAGUUGAACAUCUGAGGAUUGCAACGGAGCUGAUUGUUAGAAAUUCAAAUUGGUUGAGAAAAAAGUCAGCUCCGAGUGAUUCACCAUCAAUACCUCCAUCGAGCAAAUAUGAUGUGGUUGAAGAUCUCCCGGUUGAGCUUAGUGCAAUAAAUACAAACAGGAUUAGGAGAUUAGCGACAAAAAUGAAAUCAACUGGCAGAGCAGUAGCAGAUGAAGAGGAUAACAGUGAUUCCACAUCAAUCUCGACCAAAGAUGUUGCAGUUGGUUUUGAUGACGAUCUACGUGAUUCUACUACUGCUGCAUCAUCAUCAAGACCUGCAUCCACAACCAAAUAUUUUGUGGCUGACGAUCCGAGCAGAGAUGAUGUGUUUGGUUUUGAUGAAGAUAUACUGCGGAUGAUGCACCGAAUAACUGGUUCAUCAUCCUAUGACAACCUACAAAUCCUCCCUAUUGUUGGAAUGGGAGGCAUUGGUAAGUCCACACUUGCUAGACUUAUUUAUAAUGAUCCAGUGAUCAUAAAGCAUUUUCAUAUUCGAGCUUGGGUCACAGUAUCACAAGAUUAUUGUAUACCAAGUAUUGUCUCACAAUUACUAGCUUCGCUUAAAGGGAAAGUAGAUCCAGUUGGAAAGGAUUCAUUGAUAGUAAUCGAUGCAGAGAAGCUUCAAAUUUACAAAAUCUUAUCGGGGAGGAGGUAUCUCAUUGUAAUAGACGACAUUUGGAGUGUGGAAGCUUGGAAUCGCAUACGGUGGCUAUUUCCAAACAAAAAUAAUGAAAGCCGGAUCAUAUUAACCACAAGGCUAAUGGAUGUGGCUACUUAUGCUGCCGAUUCGUGGUUCAUUCAUAUGAUGAGUUUCUUGGAUGACAAACAAAGAUGGAGAUUGUUCCAGAACAAGGUUUUCGGAGAUCAAGAUUGUCCUGAUGAGCUACGUAGUGUUGGGGAAAAAAUAGUAAAAGGAUGUGGAGGACUGCCCCUCUCCAUUGUUACUGUGGCUGGACUUUUAUCCAGGAUUCCUAGAACUCCAAAGUUGUGGCACCAAAUUGAUGUAAAUGAUGGGCAGUUGGGAUCAAUAUUAUCUUUGAGCUACAACAACUUGACUCGACAGUUGAGGAAGUGUUUCUUGUAUAUUGCAGGCUUCCCUCAAGAUUAUGACAUCAACGCCUCUGACCUCAUCAAACUUUGGGUAGCUGAGGGGUUUUUGGAAUGUCGAAAUGAAUCUAAAAGUGUAGAAGUGGUGGCAGAGAGGUGCUUGGAGGAUCUGAUCAAGCAAAGUCUAGUUUUGGUCACUAGCCUGAAAAGUGAUGGCAAAAUCAAAAGUUGCAGGCUGCAUAGCAUGGUACGGGAUUUUUGUGUGAGACAGGCCGGGCAAGAGAAGGUCCUUCUUUCUGCUAUGGACUUCUUCCCUAAUCUUAUCUUGAGAAGGCAUUUUCUUCCACAAGUCCUCCAAAAUCAUCACCGUGUAAGUGUUAGUUGGCAUGAUCUACAUCUUAAAGACUCUACGCAUAGCUCAUGCACCAGUUCUAUUAUAUGCAUCCCGCAGAGAGGGUAUACGCCCAAAGGAUCUGUAGAGAACUUUACCUCACUGAGGGUUCUUCACGUUUUACGUAGAAAAAACUAUCAUUCAUAUUGGGAGCUUGGUCAAGUGUUUGAAUUGAUUAAUCUCACUCACCUUUCUUCCAACAUUCCCGAUGGUAUUGUCCCUCCAGCUAUAGCAAAGCUUCAAAAUCUGCAGACUUUAAUUAUUUAUAGAUCUGAUGUUCGUUUGCCUGUGGAGAUUUGGAGUUUGAGGAAGUUGAGGCAUCUUAUGGCCUUCUCAUUUCAUCCUUUACCCCUUCCUGAGGGUGCAACUCUUUCUCUACAAUACUUACAAACGCUUUCUUUGGCGACAAACUUUGUAUGUUGUGGAAGGAUGGUGAGAAUGAUCAGAAACAUAAAAAAGUUGGGAAUACGCUACUCUGAAGAGAAGUUUGGUGUAUAUUACCAUCUUGACAAUCUUAUACAUUUGCUUCAACUUGAGAAGCUGAAAAUGGAGAUGCAUAGCUCAUCCGUUCCACGUCUGAAUCCUAUUUUUCCUCUGUCACUGAAGAAGUUGGAAGUGAGUGGCGGGUGGAUUUCAUGGAGAGAUAUGACAAUUGUUGGUUUGUUGCCUAAUCUUCAAGUGUUGAAACUAAAGAACUAUGCUUGCUAUGGAGAAAAAUGGGAAACCACCGAGGGGGGAUUUCGUAUGUUGAUACAUCUGCUUAUUGAUGAAUCAAAUCUCAAGUUCUGGAGAACUAAAUGGACUCACUUACCAAGGCUUCAGUGCCUAAUGAUUCAUCGUUGUCCAUACUUGGAUGAGAUUCCAAAUGAUAUUGCAGAUAUUCUAACACUUAAACAGAUUGAGAUAGAUGAUCAUAACCAAUCUCUUUUGUACUCGGCCAAAAAUAUACAAAAGGAACGUCAGGAAAAUUGGAGGAAUGAAGUCCUCAAAGUUGUUGUGAAGCGUACUUGAUUCUGUUUCAAGCUUGACAAUGUGUCUCAUAUCAGGUAAAGAAUUCAUAAAAAGUUGCAAGGUUUAACAUCAUUCAAAAAAACGCAGAGCUUUGCGAAUGUGAGAUACUCUACCGACGAAAGAGGUAGAGAACUAAAGAUGCAAUGGUUGGUGGUGUUUGUUUUUGUGUGUGGAUUUCUCCCCCUUCACUAAGAAAAUACCGUAGCUCGCAAACAAGUAUGAAUUGAGGGGAACUUUGAAAUGUUCAGUUUUGAUCCAUACAGAGAUCAAUAGUAUGCCACCCUAAAGUAAGUUGUGUCUGUUCUAUUAAUUGAAAUCAAAAGUUGCAGGCUGCAUUGCAUAGUAUUAUCCGGGGUGUGACUUUUUUACCAAGAUUUGUUUUAUUUUGCUUAUUUUUCACUCAUAGUAUAAAAAGACAUGUUAGGGUGUUUCCAUAGUAGCUUUGAAUGAUAUUGUAAGAACAAAGACUCAAAUUUGAGCAACUCUUCAUCUUUGAAGUUUUUUCUAAAA